GUGUGGAUAACUAAGAAAUGAUAUUUAUAAAUAGUCACAGCCUGUUAGUGUAUAGUAUACAGCAAAUAAACUUUUUAGAGUAGAUAAUGCCAUGAAAGUUUAUCUUUGGUAAUAUAGGCUCGGUCAUACUUAGUAAGAUGACCAAGUUACCUUUUGCUGGAAAGGUGAAUGAGCCAAUGAUGUUCUGAGUGAUAUAUAUUGAUGUAUUGGAUCUAUGAACAUAUUUACCAUCAAUUUAGAUUAUUUAAAAUAUUUAAAUAAUUUUUUAAUAAAAUAGAAAAAUCAACUAAAAAGAGCAUUGAAAUUUUUCGGUC
rnacentral:lncRNA from 1 species